rnacentral:rRNA from 1 species
GCGAGGACCAUCUCGCAAGGCUAAAUACUAACCAGUGACCGAUAGUGAACCAGUACCGUGAGGGAAAGGUGAAAAGAACCCCGGGAGGGGAGUGAAAGAGAACCUGAAACCGUGUGCCUACAAGUAGUCAGAGCCCGUUAACGGGUAAUGGCGUGCCUUUUGUAGAAUGAACCGGCGAGUUGCGUUAGUCAGCAAGGUUAAGUCAGAAAAGACGGAGCCGUAGCGAAAGCGAGUCUGAAGAGGGCGAGCAGUUGGCUGACGCAGACCCGAAACCAAGUGACCUACCCAUGACCAGGUUGAAGGC